UGACACCCUACGGGAGGCAGCAGUGGGGAAUUUUGGACAAUGGGCGAAAGCCUGAUCCAGCAAUGCCGCGUGUGUGAAGAAGGCCUUCGGGUUGUAAAGCACUUUUGUCCGGAAAGAAAUGGCUCUGGUUAAUACCUGGGGUCGAUGACGGUACCGGAAGAAUAAGGACCGGCUAACUACGUGCCAGCAGCCGCGGUAAUACGUAGGUCCAAGCGUUAAUCGGAAUUACUGGGCGUAAAGCGUGCGCAGGCGGUUGUGCAAGACCGAUGUGAAAUCCCCCGAGCUUAACUUGGGAAUUGCAUUGGUGACUGCACGGCUAGAGUGUGUCAGAGGGGGUAGAAUUCCACGUGUAGCGGUGAAAUGCGUAGAUGUGUCA
rnacentral:rRNA from 1 species